GUGUCCCAGCAUUUAAGCAGCUGGCACAGCCCAGGAUCUGGCCUGCAGGAGCUGAGCAGAGACACAGCCAGGACUUUGUCAGGGGCUGUCACCACUCCAUGCAAGGAGGGAGAGCAGCCCCGAAGUUUCUCAGCCUGGGGGUUUCAUACCCCUUGGGUGGACCCCUGCACUGCAAAGCAAGCAAGCUUGUUACGGAAGCCGGAGAUUUGCGGUUACCUACGUCCUCUUAGUCUCACUCUGUUGCCCAGGCUAGAGUGAGUGCCGUGGC